AAAGGUAAAAUUAAAUUGUUGUUAUGUAAAAAAGUAAAUUGAAAAUGAAGCUAAAAAAGUUUAAUAAAAAACUAGGAUUAGAUACCCUAUUAUUUAAAUUAAAAUAUUUGAGACCUGGUUAGUAGUAGUUAUUUUCUUAAAAACUAAAAGAUUUGGCGGUAGUUUAAUCUUUUCAGAGGAAUUUGUUUUUUAAUCGAUAAACCACGAAGUAUCUUACUUAAGUUUGUAUACCAUCAUUAUAAGGUAAUUUUAAAAGAAAAAAUUGCUUUAAUUAAAAAGUUUUAAUAAAAUUAGAUCAUGGUGCAGCUGAUAGAUAAGUUAAAAUGAAUUACAAUAAAUUAUUUUAAACGGAGUUAUAAUAAUGAAGGAGGAUUUGAUUGUAUUGCAAGUUUAAUAAGCUUGAAAGAUAUAAGCUCUAAAUUAUGUACAUAUCGCCCGUCGCUUUC
rnacentral:rRNA from 1 species